AGUGAACGCUGGCGGCGUGCUUAACACAUGCAAGUCGAACGAGAACGGGCUAUAGCUUGCUAUAGUUGUCAGCUAAGUGGCGCACGAGUGAGUAAUGUAUAGGUAAUAUGCCUCUUACUAAGGGAUAACAAAUGGAAACGUUUGCUAAUACCUUAUACUCCUUAUUAACAGAAGUUAAUAAGGGAAAGAUUUAUUGGUAAGAGAUUAGCCUGUAUUGUAUCAGUUAGUUGGUGGGGUAAUGGCUUACCAAGACUAUGACACAUAACUGGUUUGAGAGGAUGAUCAGUCACACUGGAAUUGAGACACGGUCCAGACUCCUACGGGAGGCAGCAGUGGGGAAUAUUGCACAAUGGACGAAAGUCUGAUGCAGCAACGCCGCGUGGAGGAUGACACAUUUCGGUGCGUAAACUCCUUUUAUAUGAGAAGAUAAUGACGGUAUUAUAUGAAUAAGCACCGGCUAACUCCGUGCCAGCAGCCGCAGUAA
rnacentral:rRNA from 1 species